rnacentral:rRNA from 1 species
CCUACGGGUGGCAGCAGUGGGGGAUAUUGCACAAUGGGGGGAACCCUGAUGCAGCGACGCCGCGUGGGUGAAGGAGUGCUUCGGCAUGUAAAGCUCUAUCGGCAGGGAAGAAGCAAGACGGUACCUGACUAAGAAGCCCCGGCUAACUACGUGCCAGCAGCCGCGGUAAUACGUAGGGGGCGAGCGUUAUCCGGAUUCACUGGGUGUAAAGGGAGCGUAGACGGGCAUGCAAGCCAGGGGUGAAAGCCCGGGGCCCAACCCCGGAACUGCCCUUGAAACUGGGCGGCUAGAGUGCAGGAGAGGCAAGCGGAAUUCCUGGUGUAGCGGUGAAAUGCGUAGAUAUCAGGAGGAACACCGGCGGCGAAGGCGGCCUGCUGGACCGCGACUGACGUUGAGGCUCGAAAGCGUGGGGAGCGAACAGGAUUAGAUACCCCGGUAGUC